AGAGUUGAUAUGGCUCAGGAUGAACGCUGGCGGCGUGCCUAACACAUGCAAGUCGAACGAAGCAUAGUGGAAUGAGAUCGUCGAAGGAAGCUAUGACUUAGUGGCGGACGGGUGAGUAAUGUAUGAGCAACCUGCCUUUCAGAGGGGGACAACAGUUGGAAACGACUGCUAAUACCGCAUAACGUAUAUUGGGGGCAUCCCCGGUAUACCAAAGGAGCAAUCCGCUGAAAGAUGGGCUCAUAUCUGAUUAGUUAGUUGGCAGGGUAACGGCCUACCAAGACUGCGAUCAGUAGCCGGACUGAGAGGUUGAACGGCCACAUUGGGACUGAGAUACGGCCCAGACUCCUACGGGAGGCAGCAGUGGGGAAUAUUGGGCAAUGGGCGCAAGCCCUGACCCAGCAACGCCGCGUGAAGGAUGAAGGUCUUCGGAUUGUAAACUUCUUUGAUUGGGGAAGAAUAAAUGACCUACCCAAAGAACAAGCCACGGCUAACUACGUGCCAGCCGCCGC
rnacentral:rRNA from 1 species